AAAACUAGGACAAGUUAUGAAAUUACGUAUGUGGGAAAAAGAAAAAAAAAAAAAGAGAGAGAUGGAUGUACUCAGUUGUUUGUGUGUUUUUUGUCGUUUUGUCUUUUGUUUUUGUAGAAACAUUUUUCAGUGUGUGUAAUAUUUCAUAGAAAUAGAAGAGGAUGUCUGCUAGGAUUUAAAGAUCCAAGCAAAAGUGACCAGAUGAUGAAAAAAAACUAUGAGCAAAAGGUGUCUAAUAUCACACUGGUGCUGCAGUGUGACUGCUGUAACCUGCCUGCAGCGUUCAUGUGGUGGAAGCAUCCACCAGGAGACUCACCUCACUACAGAUCUUGCAGGGUUUAUGGUGGAUUGGUAUCACACCAAAACUCCUGUUUUGAUCUUUAAAAUCUCCAACAUAAACUUUCCCUGCUGUGGUGUUCCUGGUAGACUAUAGAGGUGCAUGUGAAUGCUGGCACAGGCUGCCCAGAGAGGCUGUGGGGUCUCCUCCUUGGGGAUCUCCAAAAGCCACCUGGACGUGGUCCUGGGCAGCCUGUUCUGGGUGUCCCUGCUUGAGCAGAGCUGGCACCAGCUGGACCCAGAGGUGCCUUCCCACCUCCAGCAUUCUGUGAUGUGAUGUGAGGGAUAGGGAAUUAGAUGUAAGCUGGUUUGUUUGAAGCUCUGCUAAAAUCUAUUUUUAUUUGAUUCUCAAGUUCCAUGGGAAAUCAGCACUCGGGUGCCCAAACUGCACCUUACAGAAAAUGCAGGUACCAAGGAGAAUGUCAGGAAUCUUCCAAAAACUUGGACUGCCUUGCAGAGCUUUUUCUUUGGAGAGAUUUUGAAGGUUUGACUUCCACAUGGUUUGGGUCAGAAGUACUUCAGUGGUCAUCCUCAUGGAAGGAACAAUACGUGUCUGCAGGCAAGUACCUUAUAUAUUACCCUAAUCCAUUACUUGUACUCAUUUUCAAUAUAAUUUUCAACUGUUCAGUCUUGUAGGUGCUGUAAAAAGGUUUCUGGCUAAACAGAAUUCUCACUAGCAGUGCUGGGUAAAACAACUCAUGUACAUAUAAAUACAUAAGUGAAGGCAGACCACAGUGCAGCUAUUGCACACUUCCCAAUGGGGCAAAAAAGUACGAUCAAGAGCAGAUUGGAAAAAUUUUAGAAUUACAGAAGUGUGUGGUAAUUGGUGAUUAAUUUAUUUUAAAAUAGGUGAUCAAAAUCAGUUCCUUAAAUAGUACCUGAUGAUGUCAGCCCAUAAAUUAUUGUUGUAUUAAUGGCAAGCAAAGAUAAAUGAUACAUCAGAGCUAUUUCUUCUAAAAUACGUCCUCUUGCAACAGGAUGUAAUCAUUUGAAAUCUUUUUCUUUCUUUCUUUUUUUUUUUUUUUUUCUCCAAAUUUGGUGUUGCUGACAAGAAGAGAGCCUUUUUAUGCCAUUGUGCGGGGUUUCUGAGACGAUCACGUGUGCGAGAGCGCAGUCAAUGCAUAACAAAGAGUGCCGUGCAUAACUGACACCACAUACAAUGAAAGGUUGAUGUAACCACAUUUCUGUUAACUCUGUGAAAAAUCAGGCACAUUAGCAAUGUGGGUUUCACAGGGUUUCGUGUUAGGGUGAAAUGAAACACAUUAAUUACACAUUACUGUUAACAAGCAAAAGGAUUUUCAUAAUUCCUUUUUUUUUUUUUUUUAAAGAAUGAUAUGGAAAACAGUAAUCUAGUUUCAAUUCUCUUUUUUUUUCCUGAGCUUCCAUCACAGUGUGCUAUGUGUCUAAACAGCCCCAAGCUGGCAUGACUGAAGCAUUGGCUUGCUUCUGCUGUAUGGUAAAUAGUGUGCUCUUACCGCUGGGUUUGGGGAAUAUGUGCUACAUACCUGGGAAAGAUGUGCUACAGCGAAGCAGAAAGAGCCAAUGCUAACCAGAAACAUUCAAA
rnacentral:lncRNA from 1 species